GGAUGCGACCGGCAAGUCAUUGAAACCGCAGCUGGCUCUUAAUCAGCGGGUCCCAGGUUCGAGCCCUGGUGCGCCCACCA
rnacentral:tRNA from 1 species